AGGGCCACUCCCACAACAUAUAGAGAUUCCCAAGCUAGGGGUCUAAUCGGAGCUGCAGCUGCUGGUCUACACCAGAGCCACAGAAACAUGGGAUCUGAGCCGCAUCUUUGACCUACACCACAGCAAUGCCAGAUCCUUAACCCACUGAGCAAGGCCAGGGAUCGAACACAUGUCCUUAUGGAUGCUAGUCAGGUUUGUUACCACUGAGCCAUGACAGGAACUCAAGAAAGGGGCUUUAAAAGCUCUUCCAUAAAGGAUGCUGCUCUAAGCUCUCUACUGGCUGAUGAUCCUGGUGCCCAGCAGGCGUUUAACGCUGGCUCCCUGCUGAGGCGCAAGAGAUGCUCCCGUGACCUCUUUUGACUCCUUCCUUAGUCCCUGCCCCUCGGGGCACCCAAUUCAGCCUCUUGGCCAAGAACAGCCUCCUCGGGCUGGUUGAAGGAAAACAGCUCAGGAUCCUUCAUUCGGCUCAUUCUGCCAGACAGAGAGGUCUCCGUCCAGCCCUCUUUCAUGGCUGGUCUUUUCUUUCCAGCUUCUUUUGCUUUGCUCAAAUAGACACCCAAGGGAGAUUAGGAAAUCCGUGACCUAAGCAGACAUCCAGCUGACAGAGGAGGUGUCACUCCUCCCUUCAGGCUGCCUGUUGCCACGCAAGGUCCCUGGACUGUGUCCCUCAGAAUCCACCCUUCCCCCUGGAGAAAAAAAUGCUCCUCCAGCCGUGGCUGCUCAGAGAUGGGCAGAGAAGCGCCUCAGCACCACCCCUCGCCCGCUCCAGGGGUCACGCCUGGGGCUAAGCACUCCAAUUUCACUUGAGACCCUGACUCAUGUUCUUUUAACCGGCCUGUCUGCGGUCUGCUCGGGCCUGCAGGCCCAGGCUCCAGGCCGGGACUCUGGUGGGUUCUGCACACAGAAUCGGGGCCUGCCCUGCUCCAGCUCUCUCCUUUGAAGGAUACAGCCUCAACGGCAAGCAGCUGGAGCUACCCCAGGCUCUGUGCGUUUCUGCUCAGAAAGAUGACAAUGUCCAUGGGAACUUGGGCAUCAACCUCCCCUCUAUCUCAGGACUGUAGACCACGCUUGGGGGAAAGAGCAGAAGUGUGAAAUGUAUCCGACGUGGUCCCAUUUUUCAGGUUUUGCUCCCUCCCCCAAAUUUACUGCUUUUGUUCUCAUUCCGGAUCCUUCACAAAGUCAUUUUUUUGGGUAUAAAAUUUCUGUCCACAGAUCCUGGUUGUUAUCUGGGAGCAGACUGAGCCUCUGAUGGCCUCUGAGCAUCAAAACGCCCUGAUGGAGUUUCUAGCCAGACACCUUCCACCACCCUGCUGUGAACACCACAAAGACUCUAUCAGUUCCAGAGAAGGGAUUAAGAAAAUUGCAUCACGGGAUUUUCUCCCCCACCCUUACACCAUUCUCAUUACACUUUUGUUCCCAGAUGUAUAACCACUAAUUAGGGCUCAGAAUGUCUAUUAACUGCAACUCUCCAGUAUCCAGGGAACCUGGCAGAACCCAGCAGAGUGGGAAAGAUGAAGAAGAUUCUUCUACCCUCUCAGAUCUAAGAUCUUGGGAUCUAGGGCAACCUUGUGUACAUCCAGAAGAAGGGCCAAGGGAACAGAGAACCAGAGCCCAGCCCUGGAGGGAGAGGCAAAGACGAGGACUCAGAGGCUGGGGAGUCGGGACUGGGUUUUAGAAAGUGUGUCAGUGUCACACUCAAUGGGGGAGCCCAGGAGGGAGGUGUGGAAGAUUGAGGGGGGCCAAAUCUAUCUCUGGUUACUUUUACACUCUUCUAACAGCUUUUUCAUCUACAUUUCCCCUUUCCUGUGUUCACCUCCUUCCUAUUCAAUUAUAUUCUGGAAAGCUCCCUCCAAAUCCCAAGUGGCACUUUCCUCAAUAACAUUCCUUUGAAAAUCCUAGUCUCUUCAGAACCCUCUCCUGUCCUGCAGAGUUUUCAUUUUUUCUUUAUGUCUCUGAGCCACAGGGAGAAAAAAAAAAGUAUUUUGUUUUGUUUUGUUUUUUGCUCUUGUUGUCAUUGUGUAUCUCCUGUCCCAGAGAAUAAUAGCAAUUCAUCUAUUUUAAAGGAAAAUUUGAAGAUACCGUCAACUGAAGAGAAUAAAAAGGAUCCAUGCCUUAGAACUCAAGCAAUCACCACUAUCAUUUUAAUGUCUAUCUGAAGUCCUUUUUCUGUUAAAGCCAUUUUUACGAUAUUGCAUUUUUCACUUGAUUUUUAAAAAAAUUUAAAGCCACAUUGUGAAUGUGUUUUAGAGCUUUGUAUAGUCUUCGAAAACAAGAUUCAAAAACAAAUCAACUUGGUUUUCUAUCUUAUUCCUGUACCAGGAGGAGUGUAAACAUAUGUUAGAGAGCUUUCCCAAAACAUGUUCUGAUUGAAUCAUAGUGAAGAAAAGCCAUGAAUGAUUUUGGUCAAUUUAAGUUCAACUUGGGCUAAAGAGAAUUCCUAACUUAUUUCCUCAUUGGGUAAUUAUAGCUGUUGAAAGAAACCUUGUGGAAAUUAUUCAGGAAUCAUGUUUACAGAACACUAUCAAGACUUGCCAAAACAAGUCAUCUUGUUUGAACCACAGAGUAUAAGGUCAGAAGUGGAGAUUCCAAAUGCCUAGACUGGGGGGACUUGGUCCUGUUGAAACGAGAAAACUUGACGAGGAAACACAGGGUUACCGAAAGCUCAUAUUUCAGUUAGUUAGUUCAUCAGGUUUGGAAAGAAAGACUCACAUGGUUAGAAAACAAGUAUUCUGGAAUCGUGUUACCAUCAACAACAUUCCCCUCUAAGCUUCGGGUAGCUCACUGCGAGUCAUGACUGACAGUUAAUAAAUGUAGUAUUUAUGUAAUAAUGCCUGCGGCGACGCUGUUCCAGAAAGCGUAGAGGAAUUGACCCCAAGGUAAAAGCAAUGCUCUCCCCUAAAUAAGCUCAUCACUCACAUUCACACUUCAAAUGUCACCUCGGGUGAUGACAAUGAUGAGGAUAACAGCUAACUUUUAAUGAGCACUUACUCUAUGCCAGAAAAUAUUCUGAGUGCCUCAGAUACACUAUGAAGUCCUUUGAACUGCCUUCAGUUAACAUCACGUGACAGCCCAGAAGACUGACACGUGGGGAGGUUAAGAAAAUUGCCCAAGGUCAUCAGCUGAGGCAGAGGAGCCAGAAUUUAAACCCAGGGAGUCUGACUCCAGAGACAGUGCUCUUAACUAAUUAUUCCACUGUUCUUAGCAUAUCUACCAGUAUUGUGGUUAGCCUAAUUUUGAGCAAUGCAUUCAUUAUUUUCUUCUCAAACAUCUGCAAUGCCUGUCACGUAGGCGACUUCGUAGAGCGCUGGAAAGACUUUGGCGCACAUUGCCUCAUUCGAUCCUAUGUUUAACCUGUGUUCAACGGACGGCGAGAGUAGACCUCGGAUGAAACAAGUAACGUGUCAUUUACUGUACUACGCAAAAAGACAGAGUCAAGAACAAAGCGCAUGACCACUGACAGGCCUUCUAACUUCAACUUCAUGGCCCUGAUCAAACACAGAGGCAUCGAACAGGCAUCAUGCCAAUGUCUCAAGUAGGCGCUCAAGACAGAGCUUUUCUCAGCAUUGAAAUCUGGUGACAAACAUUCAGGGCAACCAACGUAAACAACAAUUAUGACAUCCUUGGAAAUCUCUGCGGCAGAUAAAAACUUAGGCUUUCCUGCUGCUUUUAUUGCUCUAGAACCAAUAGUACGUAUCUUCUUGACAUGAAGAGCAGCAUCUGUAAGGCUGAGAUAGGGUUGAUCCUGGGAUACACUGGCAGAGAAGUCAGACAAGCCAAAGGGGGCUCUUUCUCUCUGAGUUCACUUUCUGGAUCAUUUUGGUGACAAAUUUUGGAAACUUCCAGAGGUGAGCAUAGAUCACGAAGCCCUUACUAGGAAGGCAUCAGCUAUAGAUGACAGCCAUUUCUCCAAAGAGGGGAUAACUUUCUUAAAAGGGAACAUGGGCUCCUGGACACACUAGCCUUGGGUAAGUUAAAAGCUUCUGGCUCACCUCCUUCUUGGUAGACCUCAGAAACUGCAGGUGAUAAAGAAAAAAAAUAAUAAUAAAGUCGUGCAGCAGGGCAAUCCACUUUUAUAGGUAACAUUUCAUGAUAUCCAGUUAUGACAGACAGGAAAACAGGUCACAUUCUACAGUGAGGGAAAAAAAUCUUCGCAUUCAUGCUCCUGAGGUUGUCUUACUACAAGCGUUGUUAUAAAUGUUGCAAAUGACAUCCCUGAGCCUCUAGGCUGAUCACAUCCGAAUGAGAAGUCCCACAAAAUCAUCUAUUCUUGCCUAAGUACCUUGCUGGCUUUUGAGUCUUUUCCCUUGGUGCAUCCGAAAGGAGACUAGCACGUGGACUGAUGCGUCAUUGUGCUGGCUUUUGAGUCUUUUCCCUUGGUGCAUCCGAAAGGAGACUAGCACCAUGUGGACUGAUGCGUCAUUGUACGUACAUAUGUCCCCAGUUUAUUGGCAGAAGAGGAUGAGGCCUGAUAUAGAGUAUCAGUCUUGGGAGGGAGGUUCCUUAUUUCUUAUUACUGGUAUUGCUAAUCAGUUGUGCCUCACUAGCUGCCUCUCGGGGUGACUUACACCCAAGGAAAAUAAAUCAAAUGCCAAGAACUGAAAAACAGAGGGUCAGAGGCUCCUUUCCUUGAAUCUUCAUAAGGGGCAGCUUUUGCAGCUGCGUCUACUGGAGCUGCCCUGCACAGGAGGACUCUUCCCACCAACCCCAUGAGGUGGGCAGGAUACCUGAGGCCACAGCUCAUGUUUGGCUGCCUCUGCGACUCCACCAAGAUGUCUUUAGAAAGUUAAGCAAUGAGGAACUUGCUGGUGGGGCGGUUUCCUGUAGCGGGGAUGGUGGACUUACUGAGAGUGUGAUUCCCAGGGGGCUGAGGCUGCUACACUGAGCAGCUUCAUAUCAUCACCAACACUGAUUUUUUUUUUUUUUUUUCCUUAUGGCCGCACCUGCAGCAUCUGGAAGUUCCCAGGCUAGAGGUCAAAUCAGAGCUGCAGCUGCUGGCGUACACCACAGCCACAGCAACGUGGGAUCCGUAAUCCACUGAGUGAGGCCAGGGAUCGAACCCACAUCCUCACGGACGGUAUGUCAGGUUCUUAACCUGCUGAGCCACAACGGGAACUCCUGAUUUUCUUUUCAUUGCGUGGUAUCACAGUGAUGAUGGCUGAGCCAUUUAUCUUAAUAAAUCAGAAGCAGGUUUUAAAAGCCCUCCUCCUUUACGAUGCCUCAUU
rnacentral:lncRNA from 1 species